CACGUAGGGCGCAAGCGUUGUCCGGAAUUAUUGGGCGUAAAGAGCUCGUAGGCGGUCUGUUGCGUCCGCUGUGAAAACUCGGGGCUUAACCCCGAGCCUGCAGUGGAUACGGGCAGACUAGAGGUAGGUAGGGGAGAAUGGAAUUCCCGGUGUAGCGGUGAAAUGCGCAGAUAUCAGGAGGAACACCGGUGGCGAAGGCGGAUCUCUGGGCCGAUACUGACGCUGAGGAGCGAAAGCGUGGGGAGCGAACAGG
rnacentral:rRNA from 1 species